AAUAAAUAAAAAAUCUUAAAAAAAAAAAAAAAAAGAUUCAGGCUGAAGAACACACAAUGCCGGACAUACCAACUUGGGCUCCCAUGAUUGAAGUACUGCAGCCACUGCCACCCCCGCCCCCCACGCUGUUUGAGACCGGAAAACAUCGUUCUUACCUGUAUUAUUAGGGCUUCCCUACAAAAACGUUUUAAUAGUAAAACUUCAGCUGGAAUUUUCCUGCCCGACUGUAUAAAUGUUUGAAGGGUUGGAUUUUUAUUUUCCACCUAACUUGACACCUUCCCUUUUUGCGUCCUCCAGAAUGCAUUUCCUUACUGUAAGUUUACCUGCAGCUGCCAAACAAUGGAAUUCACCAUCAAUGUGCAGGAAGGGGAAUGCAGUCCCUUACAGGGACCUUCAGCAUUUUUUUGAGUUCUGCUAAUGAAGAAGAAACUCCCAGCCCCACCUCAAGAACAUCAAACAUCAUGCAAUGAUACUUCCAUUGCCCAGACUGACACAUCGCUAAGCCCUGAAAUGGAAAAACCAAAGCAGUUGGUUUUACCUUAUGGUAAGUCACAUCAUCAGGUUCAAGGAGCAGUUGCUUGAAGACGAAACAAAGGAGC